rnacentral:lncRNA from 1 species
UGUUUUGGUCCGACUUCCUUAUCACCAAAUUCACCCACGAUUCGACUGCAGGAACCAGAUGGCCUUGAGCGCCUGUAAAAUUUUUUAGCGGUGCACAAGGUUGUGCAAACAUUGGGUAACACUUAAGUACACCACAGAGAUUGCACAAAACUUGAAAUUUUGAGCACCUUAAUUAAUGAUAAAAUUUCACAUAGAUGAGAACAAGUGAUCUGAGGGUCGUGAAAAAUGAGUGAAAGUUCUGCACUGACAAGUUUGAGUUUUGAUUACUCCCCACAAGAUAAUGUAUACUCCGUUAGUGGCAGUAGCCUCCUGAACCGAUUAGAUUCAGAUGAUCUUCUGCAACUGAAAUUGUUUUUCUUUCCUCAUGAACGGGCUGGAUUAAAUGGAGAAAAGAAGUAUCGUUACAGUAUAAUGCAACAGGAAUCAUCAUACUGUGGUAUACCCUUGAAUAAGGAAGAAUUUGUGAGCGCAAUUAAUACAAUAAUUGGUAUGCCCAAUUCUCCAAGCUGUUUGCACUACAGUAAGGGAUCACCUUCGAUGCUGUUCAUAGGUGACGACCAUGGAAACAUCACAAUCCUCAGUUUUCUUAAACCGAAACACUCUCUGUUCAGCAAGAAUUCUGUAGAUGAGAGCAGUAACUAUUUCUGGACAGAGCUACAAGAGCAAAGUGAAUAUGUAUCAAUAUCAGGAAAGUGUGGAGUUCACAUGGACGCAGUGCAACAAAUCUUAUAUUGUCGAGACAUAAUACUAUUGCCAGUUGCAGCUUGCAUGGAGAAACUUCUCUGA